GAGAACUCGGCGCGCCUUUCACGUUCCUUCUCGUAUCAAAAUUAACCUUCCGCGGUGCUGAUCCAACAUCCAAAUAUCCCUCGAGAACAAGAUCGAAGACGUCACCGCGGUUGGCCGCUGCGAUCAAUUAACCCCAGCCACCGAACGCUAUAAAAAUGAUUGCGAGGACCGACUGCAAGGGAAACUACGUUGAACUGGAGAAAAUACUCCAUUGUUCCUACGUGCUAUCCCGGGAGAAGGUCAGGGUGAACGUCGAGAGGUUGCGACAAUUGGUGAAGCUGUCUGGCAUCAUCCAACGGCAUCGAGACGCGUUCGAGACGCGCCAAACGAGGACGAAACGGAGAAAGAAGAGAAAACAGAAACAACCCGAGUGUACCUGCUACCCCGUUGACGAAUAAGAUCCUCGAUUCCGGGCUA